rnacentral:rRNA from 1 species
UCUGGUGAUGAUUGCGAAGAGGUCACACCCGUUCCCAUACCGAACACGGAAGUUAAGUUCUUCAGCGCCGAUGGUAGUUGGGGGUUUCCCCCUGCAAGAGUAGGACGUCGCCAGGC